CCCAAUGGCUCUCCCCAUGAUAUGUUGGGGGCUCAACCAAUGCUGACCAUAAGUAUAUAGAAACCUAUCAUCCUGGUCAUUGCUGUCUCCUUUUGUGAGGAUAUCAACAUCUCUGGUAUCUUGUCUCUCAUGGACCUCAAUUACUCGAUGGACAAUUGGAAUAUCACGUCCUUCUACAUUAAACACAACAAUCUCUCCAGUCCGAAUAGGAUCCUUGCUCGAGUGCAAGAACAAUAUGUCACCUCGUUUAAAACCGGGCUCCAUACUUCCAGUGAGAACAACCACAACAGGCGACUCACAACCAGUUAUGCACAUCAAUGCCUUCCAUAUCAUUAGAGCUGAAGUCACAAUCAUGCCUCAUCAUCAUGAACCUAAUCUCUUCUUGUCAACGCCAUUUCUGCACUGCUCUCUCUGUGCAACGCGGAGCAGAAAAGUCUUAACUG
rnacentral:misc_RNA from 1 species